GUUGUAUAGUCAAGUAAUUAAGUGCAUGUGGUGGAUGCCUUGGCAGUCAGAGGCGAUGAAAGACGUGAUAGCCUGCGAAAAGCUCCGGGGAGGCGGCAAAUAUCCUUUGAUCCGGAGAUGUCUGAAUGGGGGAACCCACCUACUUUAAGGUAGGUAUUGCAACAUGAAUACAUAGUGUUGCAAGGCGAACGAGGGGAAGUGAAACAUCUCAGUACCCUUAGGAAAAGAAAUCAAUUGAGAUUCCCUCAGUAGCGGCGAGCGAACGGGGAUCAGCCCAUUAAGUUAUGUGUGUUUUAGUGGAACGCUCUGGGAAGUGCGAACGUAGAGGGUGAUAUUCCCGUACACGAAAGGGCACACAUAAUGAUGACGAGUAGGGCGAGGCACGUGAAACCUUGUCUGAAUAUGGGGGGACCAUCCUCCAAGGCUAAAUACUCCUGACUGACCGAUAGUGAACCAGUACCGUGAGGGAAAGGCGAAAAGAACCCCUGUGAGGGGAGUGAAAUAGAUCCUGAAACCGCAUGCAUACAAGCAGUGGGAGCACCUUCGUGGUGUGACUGCGUACCUUUUGUAUAAUGGGUCAGCGACUUAUAUUCAGUAGCGAGGUUAACCGUAUAGGGGAGCCGUAGAGAAAUCGAGUCUUAAUAGGGCGUUUAGUUGCUGGGUAUAGACCCGAAACCAGGCGAUCUAUCCAUGAGCAGGUUGAAGGUUGGGUAACACUAACUGGAGGACCGAACCCACUGUCGUUGAAAAGCCAGGGGAUGACUUGUGGAUAGGGGUGAAAGGCUAAUCAAGCCUGGUGAUAGCUGGUUCUCCCCGAAAGCUAUUUAGGUAGCGCCUCGGACGAAUACCAUAGGGGGUAGAGCACUGUUUCGGCUAGGGGGUCAUCCCGACUUACCAAACCGAUGCAAACUCCGAAUACCUAUGAGUACUAUCCGGGAGACAGACUGCGGGUGCUAACGUCCGUAGUCAAGAGGAAAACAAUCCAGACCGCCAGCUAAGGCCCCAAAAUCAUAGUUAAGUGGGAAACGAUGUGGGAAGGCAUAGACAGCUAGGAGGUUGGCUUAGAAGCAGCCACCCUUUAAAGAAAGCGUAAUAGCUCACUAGUCGAGUCGGCCUGCGCGGAAGAUGUAACGGGGCUAAAACUAUGUGCCGAAGCUGCGGAUGUAUACUUUGUAUACGUGGUAGGGGAGCGUUCUGUAAGCCGAUGAAGGUGUGUUGAGAAGCAUGCUGGAGGUAUCAGAAGUGCGAAUGCUGACGUGAGUAACGACAAAACGGGUGAAAAACCCGUUCGCCGAAAGACCAAGGGUUCCAGUCCAACGUUAAUCGGGGCUGGGUGAGUCGACCCCUAAGGCGAGGCCGAAAGGCGUAGUCGAUGGGAAAAUGGUUAAUAUUCCAUUACUUCUGUGUAAUGCGAUGAGAGGACGGAGAAGGCUAAAUCAGCCUGGCGUUGGUUGUCCAGGUGAAAGGAUGUAGGCAUGUAUCUUAGGCAAAUCCGGGGUACUCUAUGCUGAGAUCUGAUAGCAAGCUGUACUUGUACAGCGAAGUGGUUGAUGCCAUGCUUCCAGGAAAAGU
rnacentral:rRNA from 1 species